rnacentral:rRNA from 1 species
GACGAACGCUGGCGGCGUGCCUAAUACAUGCAAGUAGAACGCUGAAGAGAGGAGCUUGCUCUUCUUGGAUGAGUUGCGAACGGGUGAGUAACGCGUAGGUAACCUGCCUUGUAGCGGGGGAUAACUAUUGGAAACGAUAGCUAAUACCGCAUAACAAUGGAUGACACAUGUCAUUUAUUUGAAAGGGGCAAUUGCUCCACUACAAGAUGGACCUGCGUUGUAUUAGCUAGUAGGUGAGGUAAUGGCUCACCUAGGCGACGAUACAUAGCCGACCUGAGAGGGUGAUCGGCCACACUGGGACUGAGACACGGCCCAGACUCCUACGGGAGGCAGCAGUAGGGAAUCUUCGGCAAUGGGGGCAACCCUGACCGAGCAACGCCGCAUGAGUGAAGAAGGUUUUCGGAUCGUAAAGCUCUGUUGUAAGUCAAGAACGGGUGUGAGAGUGGAAAGUUCACACUGUGACGGUAGCUUACCAGAAAGGGACGGCUAACUACGUG